rnacentral:siRNA from 1 species
UCACUUUGUUGUGCUAUUUGCAGA